rnacentral:rRNA from 1 species
AGAUUGAACGCUGGCGGCAUGCCUAACACAUGCAAGUCGAACGGGAGUAGCAAUACUCUAGCGGCGGACGGGUGAGGAAUACGUAGGAAUUUGCCCUUAAGUGGGGGAUAACCCGGGGAAACCCGGAUUAAUACCGCAUGACCUCGAAAGAGCAAAGUGGGGGAUCGCAAGACCUCACGCUUUUGGAGAAGCCUACGUCGGAUUAGCUAGUUGGUGAGGUAAUGGCUCACCAAGGCGACGAUCCGUAACUGGUCUGAGAGGAUGAUCAGUCACACCGGAACUGAGACACGGUCCGGACUCCUACGGGAGGCAGCAGUGGGGAAUAUUGGACAAUGGGCGCAAGCCUGAUCCAGCAAUGCCGCGUGUGUGAAGAAGGCCUUGGUUGUAAGC